UACGGAGGGUGCAAGCGUUAAUCGGAAUUACUGGGCGUAAAGCGUGCGCAGGCGGUUUGUUAAGUCUGUUGUGAAAUCCCCGAGCUCAACUUGGGAAUUGCAAUGGAUACUGGCAGGCUGGAGUAUGGCAGAGGAAGGUGGAAUUCCCGGUGUAGCAGUGAAAUGCGCAGAUAUCAGGAGGAACACCGGUGGCGAAGGCGGGUCUCUGGGCCGAUAUUGACGCUGAGGAGCGAAAGCGUGGGGAGCGAACAGG
rnacentral:rRNA from 1 species